CCUUCUGGGCUCAGCCUGGUAGCCUUUAAGAGAGAUCCUCGCUAACUUCCCUGCCUGUUAUAUCUGCUGGGAACCCAGUCUCGCUAUUGUCCCAGCCAUGCUGCGGGCCCCAGUGCUGCUUCUGGUGUUCCUGGCUCUUGUCACUCAGGUAUCUUCCAACAUGGAAGACGACAGGAUGUCAAUCACCAGGGCAACUGGGUCCUCUGCUGUAAUCCCUUGUGAUCUUCCUACACAAAGCAUCCAAUAUAUCCACUGGUACAAAUUCCAGGAGGGAACUGUACCCCGACGCCUUCUCUAUUAUGAUGUCUCUUCCUCAAAGGUUGUGUUGGAACCAGGAAUCAGUCCAGGGAAAUACCAUAGCUAUGAAGGCACAGACAAGAUGUAUAAAUUUGUAAUCUCAAAUCUUCAAGAAAGUGAUUCUGGCGUGUACCGCUGCGCUGUCUGGGAGAAGCACGUUGGUUGGAAGAAGAUAUUUGGAAAAGCAACUGAGCUCAUAGUAGCUGCCCCUGAUAGAGACCUUGAUAUAGACAUGUCCCCCAAGCCCACUAUGUUUCUUCCUUCGAUUACUGAAAUCAAGCAUGAUAAUACUGGAACAUAUCUUUGUCUUCUGGAGAAAUUUUUCCCUCAUGUUAUUAAGGUUUAUUGGAGAGAAAAAAGUGGCAACAGAGUUUUGCCAUCCCAGCAGGGAAAUACCAUGAAGACUGAUGACACAUACAUGAAGUUCAGCUGGCUGACCGUGUCGGGAAACUCCAUGGAUAAAGAACACAUGUGUAUUGUCAAACAUGAGAAAAAUAAAAGAGACAGAAAUCAAGAGAUUCUUUUUCCGUCAGUGAAUGAAGUUGCCUCUUCAGUUGUCACUACUACUAAACCUCCAAAUGAUGGUUUGAAGGAUAAAAGUGAAAAACAAACCCCUGCUGGAAAUUCUACAAAAGCAUGUCUGAAAGAUGAAAACAAUACCCUGCAGCUGCAGCUCAUGAAUACCUCUGCCUAUUACACAUACCUCCUCCUCCUCAUUAAGAGCACGGUCUACUUUGUCAUCAUCACCUCCUGUGUGUUCAGGGGAACAGGCAUCUGGGGCAGUCAGAAGAGCUCGUGACAGAGGGGCCCCAUAAGAGGAUCAGCGUUCCUUUAUCAUCUACGGUCUCUAAAAGCUCUGCUGAGAAUCUAGCCUGGUUUUUAUUCUGGAUUUGGGUUAUUUCAUGUGUUAUUUUUAUAUUAUGUCUUUAUUUUGUAAGAGUUUUUCAAACCACUGGGCAAACAGACAGUUUGACUCUGUAACAAGAAAUUCUGCCAUUACUACUGGGGCACGACCCAGGGUGGGUCCGGACAGCCUCUCCCCUCGCUGUCCCCACAACCUCAUCAGCUCCUUGGGCCCCUGAGUCUUCACGCCUUCUCAGCGCACACAGCGGGCAGCUCCCCAUCUCUUCCCUCAGCGCCUCCCCCCAGAUCAUGACCCUGACCCUCCCUGCCACACACCCUGGGGCUGCCAGCUUUGCUACUUGAAUUCUGUACUUUCUAUUUCAUAAUAGACGUGAUUAAUAAAAGAAAAACGCAAAAGUC